AACGAACGCUGGCGGCAUGCCUAACACAUGCAAGUCGAACGAGACCUUCGGGUCUAGUGGCGCACGGGUGCGUAACGCGUGGGAACCUGCCCUUAGGUUCGGAAUAACUCCCCGAAAGGGGUGCUAAUACCGGAUAAUGUCUUCGGACCAAAGAUUUAUCGCCUUUGGAUGGGCCCGCGUUGGAUUAGCUAGUUGGUAGGGUAAAAGCCUACCAAGGCGACGAUCCAUAGCUGGUCUGAGAGGAUGAUCAGCCACACUGGGACUGGGACACGGCCCAGACUCCUACGGGAGGCAGCAGUGGGUAAUGUUGGACAAUGGGCGAAGGCCUGAUCCAGCAAUGCCGCGUGAGUGAUGAAGGCCUUAGGGUUGUAAAGCUCUUUUACCCGGGAUGAUAAUGACGGUACCGGGAGAAUAAGCUCCGGCUAACUCCGUG
rnacentral:rRNA from 1 species